CAGAAUGAGACCCUGUUUCAGAAAGACAAGAGAAAAAGAAAAAAAAAAGAAAUAAAAAUAACAAAAUAUUUCCUGAGGACUUCCAAGUACCAGGCUCUGCAAUCUCAGAGCCACCUCUAUUCCAUCUCUGCCCUUGGAGGGGGGGACCGGCCAGGCAGGCAUUGAAGAAACGCAGCAGGCCCCUUCCAUAGCUGGGGCGGGGAUUUCUGUGUGCCGCCCCGUCACUUCCUCUGGUCAUUCCUUUGCUCAUCCAUCCAUCCAUUCAUUCAACUCACCCCGUGCACAUUUUCCAAGAUUGCCUGUGACCUGGACCUGUGCCGGGUACAGCUGAGGAUGCCAAGGUGAAUUCCUCCUGUGCCCAGCCCCUGCCCCAGUCUGCUGGGAGAACUAGACAUCGACAAUCACAUUGCAGGGAAACACAUGCUCCAUCAGGAAAGUCCAGAGCAGGGGGUGGACAGAGAGGACCGGUGUGCACCAGAGCCUAGCUCGGGCCAGGAACCAGGCCUGGCCUGGAGCAGCCAACUGUGGGAGAAGAAGGAGUUGGUGAAAUGUGGGUCCUACCUGGACCCUCCGAAGAAGGGCUGAGGGGUAGGGGGUGAGGGGUUGAAGAUCAGGCCCUGCUGCCAUGCCACAUGGCUGUCCUCUGUCCCUGCCCCUGGGGGAGCUGAAGCUGCAUGGAAGAUCCCCCAGGGGUGCCCCGUCUAAUAAACUCGAUGAAGAGGA